UUGGUUUAAUUGCUGUACUGUCAAAGUUACUGACUUUUCAGUUACUUUUUUGCUUGAUUUACAAGAAAAAAAGGCCUCAAUUCAAUUUUCUCUACUCUUAAUUCCACUCUUCUGAGACACUGUUCAUAAUUCCUUGUAUACAAAUUGCAAAGCAGUCUUGUGUUAGGAGGCCGCUGAUUUGAAGACCUGCAUGUUUCCAAGACCAUGGACAGACUCUACACAAAUGACAAUGACAACGUUCAAUAUGCAUGCUCGUGUGACUCGUGCAGAGGGCCCUCAGGAAGACUGCUCUAAUAGCGUUGGUAAAUAAAAAAAAAUAAAAACCUGU